rnacentral:lncRNA from 1 species
GGAACAACUUCCUAUAUUAAUCGAUGUAAUCAUCUAGCAAUGAGAUCCAAUAUUCAGAUCGAUUGAAAGAUUGCAAAGCAAUAUUCUAGAACCUACUGGUAUAUGAUUAUCGUAUAAUUCAUCCUUUUGACCCAAAUGCUCAAGAUAACCUAGGGUUUAACUAUCAACCCUAAUAUAGUCGAUCACAUUAUAUUUCAACCUUUUAAAUCCAUCCUAUGAAUUACCCUGGCCA